UACGGGGGGGGCAAGCGUUGUUCGGAAUUACUGGGCGUAAAGGGCGCGUAGGCGGCCUACUAAGUCGGAUGUGAAAUCCCUCGGCUCAACCAAGGAAGUGCAUCCGAAACUGUAGAGCUUGAGUACGAAAGAGGAUCGCGGAAUUCCCGGUGUAGAGGUGAAAUUCGUAGAUAUCGGGAGGAACACCAGUGGCGAAGGCGGCGACCUGGGUCGAUACUGACGCUGAGGUGCGAAAGCGUGGGGAGCAAACAGG
rnacentral:rRNA from 1 species